rnacentral:rRNA from 1 species
GACGAACCGUGCGAACGUUGUUCGGAAUCACUGGGCUUAAAGGGCGCGUAGGCGGAUUCCUCAGUCUGUGGUGAAAGCCUCCAGCUUAACUGGAGAAGUGCCGUGGAUACUGGGAGUCUUGAGGAGGGUAGGGGCAUCUGGAACAGCCGGUGGAGCGGUGAAAUGCGUUGAUAUCGGCUGGAACUCCGGUGGCGAAGGCGAGGUGCUGGACCCUUUCUGACGCUGAGGCGCGAAAGCCAGGGGAGCGAACGGGAUUAGAUACCCCGGUAGUCCUGGCCCUAAACGAUGAGAACUGGAUAGCGGGCCUGACAUGGGCGCGCUGUCGGAGCAAAAGUGUUAAGUUCUCCGCCUGGGGAGUAUGGUCGCAAGGCUGAA